CCUACGGGUGGCAGCAGUGAGGAAUAUUGGUCAAUGGACGAGAGUCUGAACCAGCCAAGUAGCGUGAAGGAUGACUGCCCUAUGGGUUGUAAACUUCUUUUAUAUGGGAAUAAAAUGUUCCACGUGUGGGAUUUUGUAUGUACCAUAUGAAUAAGGAUCGGCUAACUCCGUGCCAGCAGCCGCGGUAAUACGGAGGAUCCGAGCGUUAUCCGGAUUUAUUGGGUUUAAAGGGAGCGUAGGUGGAUUGUUAAGUCAGUUGUGAAAGUUUGCGGCUCAACCGUAAAAUUGCAGUUGAAACUUGCAGUCUUGAGUACAGUAGAGGUGGGCGGAAUUCGUGGUGUAGCGGUGAAAUGCUUAGAUAUCACGAAGAACUCCGAUUGCGAAGGCAGUUCACUGGACUGCAACUGACACUGAGGCUCGAAAGUGUGGGUAUCAAACAGGAUUAGAUACCCGUGUAGUC
rnacentral:rRNA from 1 species